GGACCCUUCGGGGAGCCUAUACAGGUGUUGCAUGGCUGUCGUCAGCUCGUGUCGUGAGAUGUUCGGUUAAGUCCGCUAACGAGCGCAACCCUCGUCGUAUGUUAUAUGUGUCAUACGAGACUGCCGGUAAAAAGCCGGAGGAAGGUGAGGAUGAUGUCAAGUCAGCAUGACCUUUAUAUCCUGGGCUACACACACACUACAAUGGCCAACACAAUAGGUUGCUAAGCCGCGAGGUGGCGCCAAUCCAUAAAGUUGGUCUCAGUUCAGAUUGUAGGCUGCAACCCGCCUGCAUGAAGAUGGAGUUGCUAGUAACCGCAGGUCAGCUAUACUGCGGUGAAUACGUUCCCGGGGCUU
rnacentral:rRNA from 1 species